rnacentral:rRNA from 1 species
AGAGUUUGAUCCUGGCUCAGGAUGAACGCUAGCGACAGGCUUAACACAUGCAAGUCGAGGGGCAGCGGGGGUAGCAAUACCCGCCGGCGACCGGCGCACGGGUGAGUAACGCGUAUGCAACUUACCUAUCAGAGGGGGAUAACCCGGCGAAAGUCGGACUAAUACCGCAUGAAGCAGGGGCCCCGCAUGGGGAUAUUUGCUAAAGAUUCAUCGCUGAUAGAUAGGCAUGCGUUCCAUUAGGCAGUUGGCGGGGUAACGGCCCACCAAACCGACGAUGGAUAGGGGUUCUGAGAGGAAGGUCCCCCACAUUGGUACUGAGACACGGACCAAACUCCUACGGGAGGCAGCAGUGAGGAAUAUUGGUCAAUGGCCGAGAGGCUGAACCAGCCAAGUCGCGUGAGGGAUGAAGGUUCUAUGGAUCGUAAACCUCUUUUAUAAGGGAAUAAAGUGCGGGACGUGUCCCGUUUUGUAUGUACCUUAUGAAUAAGGAUCGGCUAACUCCGUGCCAGCAGCCGCGGUAAUACGGAGGAUCCGAGCGUUAUCCGGAUUUAUUGGGUUUAAAGGGUGCGUAGGCGGCCUUUUAAGUCAGCGGUGAAAGUCUGUGGCUCAACCAUAGAAUUGCCGUUGAAACUGGGGGGCUUGAGUAUGUUUGAGGCAGGCGGAAUGCGUGGUGUAGCGGUGAAAUGCAUAGAUAUCACGCAGAACCCCGAUUGCGAAGGCAGCCUGCCAAGCCAUUACUGACGCUGAUGCACGAAAGCGUGGGGAUCAAACAGGAUUAGAUACCCUGGUAGUCCACGCAGUAAACGAUGAUCACUAGCUGUUUGCGAUACACUGUAAGCGGCACAGCGAAAGCGUUAAGUGAUCCACCUGGGGAGUACGCCGGCAACGGUGAAACUCAAAGGAAUUGACGGGGGCCCGCACAAGCGGAGGAACAUGUGGUUUAAUUCGAUGAUACGCGAGGA